UACGAAGGGGGCUAGCGUUGUUCGGAAUUACUGGGCGUAAAGCGCGUGUAGGCGGGUCUUUAAGUCAGGGGUGAAAUGCCAAGGCUCAACCUUGGAACUGCCUUUGAUACUGGAGAUCUUGAGUCCGGGAGAGGUGAGUGGAAUUGCGAGUGUAGAGGUGAAAUUCGUAGAUAUUCGCAAGAACACCAGUGGCGAAGGCGGCUCACUGGCCCGAUACUGACGCUGAGGCACGAAAGCGUGGGGAGCAAACAGG
rnacentral:rRNA from 1 species